rnacentral:rRNA from 1 species
UACGUAGGGUGCAAGCGUUGUCCGGAAUUAUUGGGCGUAAAGAGCUCGUAGGCGGCCAGUUGCGUCCGCUGUGAAAUCCCGGGGCUUAACCCCGGGCGUGCAGUGGAUACGGGCUGGCUAGAGGCAGGCAGGGGAGAACGGAAUUCCCGGUGUAGCGGUGAAAUGCGCAGAUAUCGGGAGGAACACCGGUGGCGAAGGCGGUUCUCUGGGCCUGUACUGACGCUGAGGAGCGAAAGCGUGGGGAGCGAACAGG